GCUGAGUGCACGGAACGCAUACCGCAAAUUCCUUCACCCGAGCCGCGAAGGAAAGUAGCAACUUUAACACCGGCUGCUUCCAAUAAUUCCGGAGGUGUUCGGAAAUUGAAUAGAGGUAAGCUGAGCCGGCUGCUUCCAAUAAUUCCGGAUUAAGGGACGUGUACGGAAAUUGA